CAAGAUCGGUUGGUCAUGUGAAUCAGCGUCUUCUCCUAUUUUACGUAUAAAAUAACAAUUAUCGUUAUCGCUAUGAUUAAAUUACUCAUUAAUUACAAAAUAUAUCAUUUUUACAGUAGUUUUAGUUUUGUUUGUAAUUUAUACUCCAUUUAUUGGAGUCAUUUACUUUAAAAUAAAAUCUCGCCUUCUAACCGGCUUGGGUAAACGACGCGCAGUCAUCUUGUUCUUGAAGCCCGCUUCUAGACCGUUUAGUAUAAUUAAUUUGGAAAUCCAUAAUUCUUUUAAAUCAAUCAGUGAUUGUGGAGUAAGCUUGUGUUUACAUAUUUAUGUGCUUGAAAAUAAAAUGAAGUUAUUUACGAUUUUUAGAUAGUGAAGUAAUUUUGUGUUUAUUGUGUGGUAUAGAAAAAUAUAAAAUCAUUUUAUCAUAAUAAAUAAUUUUUGAGUGAUUGUGUGAUGUAAAUAAAUGCCCACAUUUGAAAUUGCGUAAAUGAAUUCUACGAAUAAAAUGCUGGGAGAAAAAAAAUGUCAACAAACAUGCCUGAAAGACGGAAGUAAUUGGCACGAAUCCAUUAAUAUGAUUUCCAACAUGUGAACUUGACAGACUGACUAAAAUUGGCAACCUGUAAUUUCGAAAAUUACUGCUCACUGGAAACUCUGAUGGGACGUUGGAUGCUGAUUACCAUGGGUACCAAUCCACAGAGUGACGUUAUCACUACGUAUUUUGCGGUUUCCCAGCGUCCGAUAGACACACGGGAAUCUCAUGGACAUGCCUGCCACCGACAGAAUCCACCACUUUCGUAAUCCGAUACAGUAACUGAGUUGAAUCUCCAAUGAACAAUUCCAACGUCUACAAGAUGCAAAGGUCUUCUCGUGAUUGAAAUACAACAAAAAUACCAGCAACAACUAUUGGGCAUCAGCAUACACCAAAUAAGGUCUUUUUUUCAUCCCUUGACUGCUCUUGCUGUUCACUUGUCUGCCAGGAAAACGUUGCGCGGUCUUUCAACGACAUUUUGAGAAGAGGAAAAACGACCAACUCGUCGACGGCCUAAACAAACCCUCGAGGGGUGCCACUAAACUGUCGAGACCUCCCAGCGACAGGAAAUUUGAUGAAGAGGCAACCAAAACAAUAGAAGGAAGAGAGACAAAAUAAAACUCUCAAAAAUAACUAUCUUCUAUACAUGUCUACCAACUUCACAUUAUUGUGUUUGCAAGCUUAUUAUUUUUGUAUUUUUUUUUUUUUAAACGCAUUUA